rnacentral:lncRNA from 13 species
AUGAGAAGGACAUUUCAGCAGUUGGAGUAUGGUGACAACAUGUCCUCACUACUCUCCUCUUGUAAGGCAAGCCAUCUCCGAUCUCCUGGAAGAUCCGUUCUCCUCUAUCCUGUUGUUGGGGUGAAUUUAUGGCAGAGGGAAAGGGAAUUUUGUAUCAGGAUUGAGAGUCAGGUUACAAAGGAGAAAUCUGGAAAGCAACAAAGGCCACUGCCUUGUUACCAGUAUUACUGCAAAUCUUUCAUCUGAACCACGUGAUGUCUUGGUAACAAGUUGAAUAGAGAUGCCUCAAAAUUGUGCUGCAUGUGUUUCUGUGGUGCUUUCUUUCCUACAGAACUUAUGUUAAUCUUCGUUGUCAAUAAAUUUAUGGUAUAACAAAAUAACA